GUGCCAGCAGCCGCGGUAAUACGUAGGGGGCAAGCGUUGUCCGGAAUUAUUGGGCGUAAAGCGCGCGCAGGCGGUUGUUUAAGUCUGGUGUUUAAUACAUGGGCUCAACCCGUGUUCGCACCGGAAACUGGGCAACUGGAGUGCAGGAGAGGAAAGUGGAAUUCCACGUGUAGCGGUGAAAUGCGUAGAGAUGUGGAGGAACACCAGUGGCGAAGGCGACUUUCUGGCCUGCAACUGACGCUGAGGCGCGAAAGCGUGGGGAGCAAACAGGAUUAGAUACCCUGGUAGUCC
rnacentral:rRNA from 1 species